UACGUAGGGGCUAGCGUUAUCCGGAAUUACUGGGCGUAAAGGGUGCGUAGGUGGUUUCUUAAGUCAGAGGUGAAAGGCUACGGCUCAACCGUAGUAAGCCUUUGAAACUGAGAAACUUGAGUGCAGGAGAGGAGAGUAGAAUUCCUAGUGUAGCGGUGAAAUGCGUAGAUAUUAGGAGGAAUACCAGUUGCGAAGGCGGCUCUCUGGACUGUAACUGACACUGAGGCACGAAAGCGUGGGGAGCAAACAGGAUUAGAUACCCCUGUAGUCCCUGA
rnacentral:rRNA from 1 species